CCUGGAACCGAUUCGUUCAUAUUCUCCGUCAUAUGGCUGACGGAGUAUAGUAUCUGCUAGAUCUCUAGUAAGCAAAUGACUAAUCAAAAGGGUGGGAACAAGAUCAUUUAUAUCUGUAUAGAACGAUCUAUGGCUCCCAACUACUCACCCGAGACCAGCUAAUAAAAACUAACACAAUCUUUACCCAGACCUCACAGUGGAUUCUUUCAUUGAUUCUACUUCGUGAAUGUGGAAUUCGCAGGCGCUACAGGCUUUGGUGGAUCCACAGGAUGUGAAAAUCAUAGAAAGUAUACCA
rnacentral:lncRNA from 1 species